AAUAGAAAUUCUUCAUAUGCUACCUUCAUACGUGGAGUCAUUCGUUUUCUAUGGUAUAUACGAGUAUGAUGUGCCCAUAGCGGAGCCUUUCUACCGUUAAGGAUUAAAGCUAGAUUCACACUAGCGAUCACGGUACGGUAAGAUUACGCCAAGUCAGCCACCGGUCAAAAUCACUUGCGCGUAAUCCAACGAGAGCAUCCACAGCAGGCGGUUCGAUCGAGUCGAACGAAAAUCUGUCGACCGCGGCGCCGGAUCAAGAUCGCCGUCAACAGUUGGAACGGUGAACGAGCGUCUAAUCGAAUUUGUAGGAAAUUGCAGCGAACCAUAUGAUCUCAGUGGCAAAAAAUAUUACGACACAUCUGACAAGAUGAAACGGUGGAUGGAAAUAGAGAAGAAUGAUCUGGAAACUUCUACAGCCACGCAGCUAUCGCAAUUACUUCCAUUUAUCAUUUCCACUCAUCGCAUUACUACCGCAAACGUAUCUUAUUCGCCAUCUUAUGCAUCCUCGUAAAAGAUUAACGCGAGUUUCGCUUAUUCCUUGUCCGGGCGAACAAAUAAAGAUGAGAGUGACUGGCGACGAGAUUUGAUUGCUUCUGAUCGCUCAGUGUGAAUGCCUCGGUCAAAUCCUAGAUUUUGAUUGAUCGUGACCUGUGACCGCACCUUUGACCGCUAGUGUGAAUCAGACUUAAUGGUUGCGAAUAUAACGUCACGGAAAAUUGUAAACGUUAACUGACCGAUUUUAUGAUCUGGCUGGGUCGCUUUUAUCAAAUGUACGUGUAGAUGGCGCAUCUGACGCUUGCAUAUGAAAUCCUAGUGUUACUAGCCGUUGCUCGCGAACCAUGAAGAUAUCCCAUUAUCGCUCACGCGGCAACAGACGUGAUCGUAGUAUCGCUCGAACCUCCUUUAUUUCACGUAGCUGCACGCCGUGACGUUAAUUGUCCUGUGAUUCGGGGCGAAUUUCAUCGGGCGCGUCCAUGGGGGACGCUGAGAGGGGUUGGAAAAGCGGAAACAGAAAGAGAGAACGCCGCUCGCCGUCGGAUGAUGAAUGGAGGAGUGAUGGUGGUUUCGCGUGCAAAACCAAAAUACGAGUGGAAUGGGGAAGAAAAGUACGAGAGGAAGACAGCGAGGCUCGAACAGGGUGGAAGAUUAGGGGUUGCCUGCGAUUCGUGAUUUAUAAACGUCCUUUCCAAGAAGCCUCUUUCUCCUCGAGGCCUCCCCUCCGUCAUUCCGCCAGCCCUCCGCCCAUCAUCUGGGCGCCCCCCCCUUUUCUUUUGUUUAUAAUCAUCGACACCGCCCGCCUAGCGGGGGCAAUCGAACGGCGAUCUCGGAAGUCGCCAACGCGAUUUGUUUUUGUCGCUAUACAGCCCGGAAUCCUACAUCGAUCCUGUCACGUCCAGCCCUAUGAAAGAUGCGUGCUCUCGUCGGGCCGACCUUUCUUGGAAAGGAAAUUUAUGAGCCUCGCCCGUUAAUUGUGCCCUCACGAAGGGACUUUCUUUUCACAGGCAAGCAUUCAGCUCGGGAGAAAAUUUGAUACGCUUGGUCUCCAUCGGACGUAGCCUCUUAUGUAAGAAAUAUUUUAAAAAGUUGUAUAAUUAUAUAACAGUGUUCAUUCGU